AACAGUGCUGCCGUUUUUCGUCCAACCCGACCCGGUUCCAAGCUGACCCGAACCCGUUUCCGGUCCGAGCCACACAAUCCGGGUGAGCCGAGCUGAGUAAGCCGAGCCGAGUGAGCCGCGAGCCGAGCCGCGAGCCGAGUGAGCCGAGCCGCGAGCCGAGUGAGCGAGCUGCGAGCUGAGUGAGCCGAGCCGCGAGCCGAGCCGCGAGCCGAGUGAGCCGAGCCGCGAGCCCAGCCGAGCCGAGCCGAGACCAAGCCGAGCCGAGCCGAGCUCCUUGUUUCACCAAGCCACCUAAGCCUUCCUUCCUCCGCUCCGGGUCACGGUAGUUCAGAGUUGACACUUGGGUUCUCGGGUCUCGCGGUAGGCCUGGUUGGAGAUAGCUUCCUUUCCUUGGGUGGAUCUGUCGAGCGUAGAUUUCGAUCGAGGGGCAUAACUGA